UACGUAGGGGGCAAGCGUUGUCCGGAAUCACUGGGCGUAAAGGGCGCGUAGGCGGCCGGCCAAGUCGGGGGUGAAAGCCUGUGGCUCAACCACAGAAUGGCCCUCGAUACUGGCUGGCUCGAGACCGGAAGAGGUUGGUGGAAUUGCGAGUGUAGAGGUGAAAUUCGUAGAUAUUCGCAAGAACACCGGUGGCGAAGGCGGCCAAGCUGGUCCGGAUCUGACGCUGAGGCGCGAAAGCGUGGGGAGCAAACAGGAAUGAGAAACCCUGGGUAGUCCAAGACCGAAUGU
rnacentral:rRNA from 1 species